GACGAACGCUGGCGGCGUGCUUAACACAUGCAAGUCGAACGAUGAACCCGGAGCUUGCUCCGGUGGAUUAGUGGCGAACGGGUGAGUAACAUGUGAGUAACCUGCCCUUGACUCUGGGAUAACUGCGGGAAACUGUAGCUAAUACCGGAUACGACCCUCGGCGGCAUCGCCAGGGGGUGGAAAGAAUUUCGGUCAAGGAUGGACUCGCGGCCUAUCAGCUAGUUGGUGAGGUAACGGCUCACCAAGGCGACGACGGGUAGCCGGCCUGAGAGGGUGACCGGCCACACUGGGACUGAGACACGGCCCAGACUCCUACGGGUGGCAGCAACUAGGAAUCGUACGCAAUGGACGCAAGUCUGACGUCGCGACGCCGCGUGAAGGACGAAGGCCUUCGGGUCGUAAACUUCUUUUGUCCCGAGAGAGAUCGAGGGAAGAAUAAGCACCUGCUAACUCUGUGCCAGCCGCCGCAGUAA
rnacentral:rRNA from 1 species